GGCUGUGCAUAACUCGGCUGGAAGGCUGAGCCACUGAAGAUCCAACUGAUGAAGUUAAUAGCUGAUGAGGCAUCAUGAGCAGAGAGAAUGCAGGUUUGCACCCACGCAACAGGAGACACUCAUGAGAGCUUGUGUCUGGAGCCUCCUGACCUCACAAUGCCGAUCGGGUCUGGAACCCACCAGGUGAUUCAGCAGGGUGAGGAGCAUGGACCUCAGACAACAGGAAAGGCAGUAUGAAAGCAGCACAAACAAGGAUCCACACUGCUGAAAGAAUUAGAAGAAAGUACAGGGUCCUGGCAAAGGGAGCUCCAAACUUGAUUAAUAGUGACAACCUUAUGGCUCCAUUAGAUAAUAUGAAUGUAAACCAGUCAUUUCUGUUAUACCAAAUAGUCACUAAUCUACAGUAAAAUCACCAUAGGUCUGAUUUUUCUUGUAACACUUUGACUUCGGUUUCACAUUUACUUUUGAUAAAUGCCUUUGCAGAUGCCUUGCAGCAGGAGAUCUUUAUUAUGCUGAGAUACCAUUGAUUGCCACUGUCUCUUUAAUGUUUGUAUAGAAUAGACUGACUGCCCUUGAUCUUCUUUCACCAGGCUAAAGUGGAACACUAAGGGUUUAAACUUAUUCAUUUUAUAGAGAUUUCUCUUGAAGCGCUGCUUUUAAAAAUGAACCUGUUUUAUUGGAAAGUUUUUAUUUCAAUUACAUUUUCAAAUUAAAACAGUGUAGACCUAUGAACUAUAUUUCAAAACUUCAGUUGCUUAUAAGAGUUGAAUACAUAGGACUAUCACGAAGAAAUAAAAGAUUUGUUGAGGAA